rnacentral:rRNA from 1 species
UACGGAGGGUGCGAGCGUUAAUCGGAAUUACUGGGCGAAAAGCGCGCGUAGGCGGUUCGAUAAGUCAGAUGUGAAAUCCCCGGGCUCAACCUGGGAAUGGCAUUUGAUACUGUCAGACUGGAGUGUGGUAGAGGGAAGUGGAAUUCCGCAUGUAGCGGUGAAAUGCGUAGAUAUGCGGAGGAACACCAGUGGCGAAAGCGGCUUCCUGGACCAACACUGACGCUGAGGUGCGAAAGCGUGGGGAGCAAACAGG